AACGAACGCUGGCGGCAUGCCUAACACAUGCAAGUCGAACGAGACCUUCGGGUCUAGUGGCGCACGGGUGCGUAACGCGUGGGAACCUGCCCUUAGGUUCGGAAUAACUCCCCGAAAGGGGUGCUAAUACCGGAUAAUGUCUUCGGACCAAAGAUUUAUCGCCUUUGGAUGGGCCCGCGUUGGAUUAGCUAGUUGGUAGGGUAAAAGCCUACCAAGGCGACGAUCCAUAGCUGGUCUGAGAGGAUGAUCAGCCACACUGGGACUGAGACACGGCCCAGACUCCUACGGGAGGCAGCAGUGGGGAAUAUUGGACAAUGGGCGAAAGCCUGAUCCAGCAAUGCCGCGUGAGUGAUGAAGGCCUUAGGGUUGUAAAGCUCUUUUACCCGGGAUGAUAAUGGCAGUACCGGGAGAAUAAGCGCCGGCUAACUCCGUG
rnacentral:rRNA from 1 species